ensembl:lncRNA LINC00838 long intergenic non-protein coding RNA 838
AUUCUGCCUGGGUACGUGUAAAGUGGAGCCGUCUUUUCUGCACAGAGUGUGCACUAUCAUCGUAACAGCAGAGACGGAGAGCAAGAUAAUGCCUGACCUCCUCGGAAUGCACCUGAGUAGGACUCAGCCUCAUUUUGCCUAGCCCCUGCUCAAGAUAGAGUCACUCUGGUUGGAAGGCCUUUGGCAAUAGGAUUGGCAACUCAGAGAAAGCUGGUCCCUGGCAUGGGCAUCUCUCCCAAGGCAUUCUUCCAAAGCUGAUGGCACUAAGGCUGAACCCAGAAGCUGCAGCAGUGGACGGAUGAUGAUCUGAAGAAAUGAGAUCCCUGAUGGGCUUGGAAGUCAUGGUUCCUGUAACCAUGAUGUCACACCCUCGUCCUGACACCGAGAUGGGCUGGACACAUCUGUCACCCAGGGCAAACAAAAUGCUUGGUCUGCAUCUUUCAGAAGAAAACUAAAAAUCAAGUAAUUUCUUAGAAGUUUGCUUGCGUGUGGCUUAAGUCUUCUUCUCCUGUUGAGGAAGGUGUUGAGUUUGACCAUGACAGCCCCACCCAGUCCUUGGCUCAUCUCACCCAUCAAAGAGGAUCUGGAGAUUCAGAGCUAUGCCGUGGAAGACCUUGUCAGAGCACCAGGCCAUACUGUGCUGCAGGUGGGGUUCAGGUGCCCAGUGACAACCACCGGGGCCGCUCAUCCCUAAACGUCUGUUGAACUUAAAGUUCUACUCAAGACUUUCUACAUUAAAUACCCUUUCAUACAGCAAAAUCAGCCAUGUUCUGAGAUGUGAAACUGCAGCACAAAGUUACUGUGGUCUCCACCUAUAGAAAUGGAAUGUUACUUCAUAAAGCCCCAGGCCAAAAAAGAAACCCCAAAACUCUGAAACGACACCCUUAAAUUUAACCUGAACAUCUGGCCAGCCUCCUCCAUCAUUGAAACUUCUCCUGAGUGUUGGCAUGGAUCCUAUGUUUCUCCAGCCAGGGAGCUUUGCUCCCCAUUCUUGAUGGACCCACUGAGUCCCAAUUUUCUACAUUUUACUUGGGUCAUUCCACCACUUUGGGAUGCUUUUCCUACUCUGUUGUACUUUAAAAAUGUUUCUUCUUUCCUAUUCUCAGCUUCACGCAUUUGUCUUCUUUCUCAAUUCAACUUGCUUAGUUCUCGCUACAUCAAUUCCUAGAGCCAUCCAUCUGCACUUCUGAAUCAUUUAAGUUUUGUUUGGCUACAAGUAAUGGAAACCCACUCUGAGUAACUCAAGCAAGAACUGGAAUUUAUUGGAAGGACAGUGGGAUAUAUCAUAAGAUCCAAAAAGAAUUGAACAAAUAAAAUUUCAGAGGGAAGAAAAAGGGCAGCUCCAGUGACUUCAGCAACAAGACAACAUAAGUCUUUCUAGAGCAUAGCUACUAAUAUUAUUCAGCUGCAAGAGCCCCUCCCCAUGAGAAACUUGAUUGAAAAUUCUGAUUUCCCACAGAGAAGAAUCUGAUCGACUCAGUUUAGCUUUGGUUGCCCAACUGCUCAAUCUUGCAUGAAUUAUUUCCAGCCAAGGGGACAAGGUGUAUUAUAGGGACACACCUGCUUUCUCCAAAGAAAAGAUCUGGGCAUUUCCUGAUCAUUUCCCUGAGAAGGAGGAAUCAUUGUGAGCCAAGAAGAUACCUCAAGUAUAAUGAGCUCAGUUACACUUUUUUGAUAUCUGAGUAUUUGGUAUGUAGUGUGCAUUUUAAAAAACAUGUCUCUCUCCAGGACAAUGUUAACCUCUUCCACGGUGGAGUGGGGCUAUGUGAUUUUGUGCUUAAUUUACCUAGCUGGUGGGCCUCCAGUAGAGGCUGUAGUCGAGCCAGCUGAUACCACAUCAGUUCUCCAAAGGUAAGUUUCUCUUGGCUAAUAUUCCUUCUCUCAACUUAAUAAACACCCACUAUACACCAAGAUACAUUGAAAA